UUUUUGUUUGUUACUCCAUAUCUCCGUCAUUACUGGACCUAUUUUGAAAAUUCUUUUUUUGAUUGUAUGUAUAUGCAUACAGAUUGGUCCCGUUUUUGUUAAAACCCAGUUCUGAUGAUGGGAUCCAUGAGGAAACGAGGGAACUCCUCAAAUCUUAAAGGCAUACAUGUAGUGAUUUUUGAGUUUUUAUCAACAAAUUAAGCAUUGGAACUGCUGAUGAUGAUCAGAAUGGAACUCUUCAACGACGCAUAGUUCACGUUUGGUGAUUUCUCCUCUUCGUUAUGUUUGUUAAGCAAGUUAAGUUUUUAA